AGAGUUUGAUCAUGGCUCAGAAUGAACGCUGGCGGCGUGCUUAACACAUGCAAGUCGAGCGAGAAAGUCUCUUCGGAGGUGAGUAAAGCGGCGGACGGGUGAGUAACGCGUGAGAAUUUGCCCUUCAGUGAAGAAUACCCUAAAGAAAUUUAGGUUAAUACUGCAUAAGUCCCUUCGGGGAGAAAGGUGGCCUCUUGCUGCCGCUAAAGGAUAAGCUUGCGUGCUAUUAGUUAGUUGGUGGGGUAAUGGCCUACCAAGACGAUGAUGGCUAGCCGGCCUGAGAGGGUGUACGGCCACAUUGGAACUGAGAUACGGUCCCGACUCCUUACGGGAGGCAGCAGUGAGGGAUAUUGUGCGAUGGGCGAAAGCCCUGACCCAGCGACCCCCCCUGGGGGAUGAAGGUCCUCCGGAUUGU
rnacentral:rRNA from 1 species